UACAGAGGUCUCAAGCGUUUGUUCGGAUUCAUUGGGCGUAAAGGGUGCGUAGGCGGCGCGGUAAGUCGGAUGUGAAAUCUCGGAGCUUAACUUCGAAACUGCAUUCGAUACUGCCGUGCUUGAGGACUGGAGAGGAGACUGGAAUUUACGGUGUAGCGGUGAAAUGCGUAGAUAUCGUAAGGAAGACCAGUGGCGAAGGCGGGUCUCUGGACAGUUCCUGACGCUGAGGCACGAAGGUCAGGGGAGCAAAACGGGG
rnacentral:rRNA from 1 species